rnacentral:sRNA from 2 species
CUCUGUCUCUGUUUGUGACUCUGUUUUCUCUGCUGUUCUCAUCUCCUCUGCUGCUUCUGCCUCUUUCACUGUCUGUGCUUUCUCUGUUGCUUUCAAUUCUAUUUCUUCUGCUUAUAUCAAUUCUCUCUUCUUCUUUCAUACUGAUUUCUUACUUUUGUUUAUUCUCUUAGAGAUGUUGUAUAUCUUCAGUGACUUCUCUCUUUAUUUUCUACACUUUUCUUCUGUGCCCACUGCUUCUGAAAAAACAUAUUUUCAUAUAUAAGUUUUGUAUGAUAUAAUCUGUUUCACUAGCUAUUUGUUGAUUGCAUCUCUUACUUGAAGCAAGUAUGAAAUAUUUAGUAAUCUUAUAUAUCUCAGAGAAAACACUGUUGUUUGAACAGAUUAUACUGAGUAUAUACAAUAUUUCUUUCUUUAUUUAUAAAUUUUAUUUUGACUUGUUGU